AUAGAGAUGGCGGGCCCCCGCGCCCCCGUCCCCAACCCUUUGUUGACCAAACCACUUUUGCCUCGGGGGUAGAGCGGCCUCCGCCGCCCCCGGUGGACCACUUAACACUGUCUCUGUACGUCGGAGUCUUGAUGAAUAAAUGA
rnacentral:misc_RNA from 1 species